CGAGCGGACAGAUGAGGAGCUUGCUCCCUGAUGUUAGCGGCGGACGGGUGAGUAACACGUGGGUAACCUGCCUGUAAGACUGGGAUAACUCCGGGAAACCGGGGCUAAUACCGGAUGGUUGUCUGAACCGCAUGGUUCAGACAUAAAAGGUGGCUUCGGCUACCACUUACAGAUGGACCCGCGGCGCAUUAGCUAGUUGGUGAGGUAACGGCUCACCAAGGCGACGAUGCGUAGCCGACCUGAGAGGGUGAUCGGCCACACUGGGACUGAGACACGGCCCAGACUCCUACGGGAGGCAGCAGUAGGGAAUCUUCCGCAAUGGACGAAAGUCUGACGGAGCAACGCCGCGUGAGUGAUGAAGGUUUUCGGAUCGUAAAGCUCUGUUGUUAGGGAAGAACAAGUGCCGUUCAAAUAGGGCGGCACCUUGACGGUACCUAACCAGAAAGCCACGGCUAACUACGUGCCAGCAGCCGCGGUAAUACGUAGGUGGCAAGCGUUGUCCGGAAUUAUUGGGCGUAAAGGGCUCGCAGGCGGUUUCUUAAGUCUGAUGUGAAAGCCCCCGGCUCAACCGGGGAGGGUCAUUGGAAACUGGGGAACUUGAGUGCAGAAGAGGAGAGUGGAAUUCCACGUGUAGCGGUGAAAUGCGUAGAGAUGUGGAGGAACACCAGUGGCGAAGGCGACUCUCUGGUCUGUAACUGACGCUGAGGAGCGAAAGCGUGGGGAGCGAACAGGAUUAGAUACCCUGGUAGUCCACGCCGUAAACGAUGAGUGCUAAGUGUUAGGGGGUUUCCGCCCCUUAGUGCUGCAGCUAACGCAUUAAGCACUCCGCCUGGGGAGUACGGUCGCAAGACUGAAACUCAAAGGAAUUGACGGGGGCCCGCACAAGCGGU
rnacentral:rRNA from 2 species